rnacentral:lncRNA from 1 species
CUGAGAAGCACCAGAGGAAAUUCCUUGCUGCAGAGAUGGGAAUACAACAACUAAGCAAUCAGGGGCAUUUCAGUUGCUUAGCGUGAAGCCAAAGACUUGCUGCGUAACCUUGGGUCUGUGGAUCAAAGCUGCUGCAUGUAUUUUUUUAAAGAAAGGAGCAAUGAAAGAAGAGCCAAAAGAAGGAAGGAGUGAAUGGAAAGAGCAACUCCCCUUCAAGGCCUAAAGGGUGGAAAGAUGAAGAAAGAUCCAUCUCCACAGGAGCUCACUGAGUGUGCUUGGAAGGCAGGGAACAGGAAUCCAGCAGCUCACAGACCAGGGUGCAGCAGAAGGAUGGGAGCUGAUGCGAGGUGAGCAUUUCACUUUUACUUCGAAGGAUUAAAGUCUUUAGA